rnacentral:RNase_P_RNA from 1 species
UCAGGCGGUCGGAUGGCCGCGCGUGGGCAAUGGGGAAACCCGUCCAUGUGAGGAAAGUCCGGGCUCCACGGAAGUACGGUGCCGGUUAACGGCCGGCGGGGGUAACCCCAGGGAAAGUGCCACAGAAAGCAAACCGCCUGCCUUCGGGCAGGUAAGGGUGAAAGGGUGCGGUAAGAGCGCACCGCACCCCCGGCGACGGGGGUGGCAGGGCAAACCCCACCGGGAGCAAGACCGAAUAGGGGCGGCAUAUGGCGCA